rnacentral:rRNA from 1 species
UACGUAGGGUGCAAGCGUUAUCCGGAAUUAUUGGGCGUAAAGAGCUCGUAGGCGGUUUGUCGCGUCUGCUGUGAAAACUGGGGGCUCAACCCCCAGCCUGCAGUGGGUACGGGCAGACUAGAGUGCGGUAGGGGAGAUUGGAAUUCCUGGUGUAGCGGUGGAAUGCGCAGAUAUCAGGAGGAACACCAACGGCGAAAGCACUCUGCUGGGCCGACACUGACACUGAGAGACGAAAGCUAGGGGAGCAAAUGGG